CCGCCAGCUCCUCCGAGCUGCGGUUCCCGGCGAGAGGACAGGUAGACGAUGGCCGCGCCAUUACACCUGUCGUAAGGCAUUAGGGCACCGCAAGCCAAAUGCUUACCCGUCGUGCUGUCCGGCGACCUCACCGUGCCGGGAACAGGGCACGCCUUCUCUAGCCUGCUGCGUCAGGAGCAGGAGUUUUCAGAUGAUUUACAGAUCACUUUCCAGCACCCUUCGCUCAGACCACCUGCGGAGUCUUGGAAGGAGCACUUCCAAGUGAGUUAGGAAGUCUAGGUCAAAGUCACAACCCUGACCUUGGACAAGUAACUGGUCCCUGGGCCUUAAAUUCCUAUAGGAGAAGAAAUGUAACUUCUGCCUUGCCUGCAACCCAGGGCGGUUAUAAAGAUCACUGGAGGUAAUGGUUCUCACUCUUAAUUUGUAAACCAGACCACAAACAACAAAUGUGAGGGCUCAAAGGUGAGGAAUAAAAUCUAGUAGGCCCAACACAGAGAUGCCUGUGCUAGAACCCGCCUCAGCAAAACCAAAAAACCUUAGCUAGUUUCUGUUACCUGUAAAGACCCGGCUCAUCCAGAAAAUACGGCCAAUCCCCUAUGGCCAGCUAACUUCAGUGUUCUAGUCUGCACUAUCUAAUAAAAACUCUCCCAAUGUACUUGCUUAUUCUGCCUAUAAAAUUCCAUUCUUCUCUUUGUUCAGAGGAACUCCUCUCUACCUCAGGGCAAUUGUCAUGAACUGAUUGGAUAAAACUCUGAGAUCUAGCCAAAUGCGCUCAAGUUUUUUAUUUUAACAACGGAAAUGUGAAAGGUCUGUGUGGUAAAGAGCAGUUGGUUAGUUCAGGAACUUCACUGGAAUGAGGAUUCCUGGGGGGAUUCCAGGGAGCAGCUGUGAGUGACUUUCUUGCCCACUUUCCUCCAAAAGCAAGUUUGUAGAUACUCCCAAAACAUGUUCUGCCAAGACCCGCUUCAGCUGGGGUAUUUAACUGCUUAUGGUGUUGGAGACCACACUACCCAAUUUCAGCACUACUGAGGUUUCAAGUUUUGCCUUGUCCAUGUCAUGUGAAGGAUUUAAAAAAAAAAAAAGCUCUGGAAAUUCAGAAGAGUGAUACUGAGCAAACGUGGUUCCUUCUCCCUGACACACUCUAAAGACCAAUUUCUGAGACACCAGGGUUUCAAAGAGAAAAAGAAUUUAUUUGGUUGCAUAAGUAAAGGAGCA
rnacentral:lncRNA from 1 species